UACGUAGGGGGCAAGCGUUGUCCGGAUUUAUUGGGCGUAAAGAGCGUGUAGGCGGCUGGGUAGGUCCGUUGUGAAAACUCGAGCUCAACCUCGAGACGCCGAUGGAAACCCUCCAGCUAGAGUCCGGAAGAGGAGAGUGGACUUCCUGGUGUAGCGGUGAAAUGCGCAGAUAUCAGGAAGAACACCCGUGGCUAAGGCGGCUCUCUAGUACGGUACUGACGCUGAGACGCGAAAGCGUGGGGAGCGAACAGG
rnacentral:rRNA from 1 species